rnacentral:rRNA from 1 species
UACAGAGACUGCAAGCGUUAUUCGGAUUCACUGGGCGUAAAGGGAGCGUAGGCGGGCUUCUAAGUUAGGUGUUUAAUCCCAGGGCCCAACCCUGGUCAGGCACCUAAAACUGGGAGUCUUGAAUAGUGGAGAGGACGAUGGAAUUGGGGGUGUAGCGGUGGAAUGCGUAGAGAUCCCCAAGAACACCAGUUGCGAAGGCGGUCGUCUGGACACAUAUUGACGCUGAGGCUCGAAAGCAUGGGGAGCAAACAGG